rnacentral:rRNA from 1 species
GUUGAAAAAUUAGCGGAUGACCUGUGGCUGGGGGUGAAAGGCCAAUCAAACCGGGAGAUAGCUGGUUCUCCCCGAAAGCUAUUUAGGUAGCGCCUCGUGAAUUCAUCUCCGGGGGUAGAGCACUGUUUCGGCUAGGGGGCCAUCCCGGCUUACCAACCCGAUGCAAACUGCGAAUACCGGAGAAUGUUAUCACGGGAGACACACGGCGGGUGCUAACGUCCGUCGUGAAGAGGGAAACAACCCAGACCGCCAGCUAAGGUCCCAAAGUCAUGGUUAAGUGGGAAACGAUGUGGGAAGGCCCAGACAGCCAGGAUGUUGGCUUAGAAGCAGCCAUCAUUUAAAGAAAGCGUAAUAGCUCACUGGUCGAGUCGGCCUGCGCGGAAGAUGUAACGGGGCUAAACCAUGCACCGAAGCUGCGGCAGCGAACGUAUCACCCAAGACAACUUUACGGAGUUGACGAUUGACGGAGCGAAGCGACGUCAAAGCGUUCAUUAAAGUCGAGUUGGCUUAGGGAUACGUUCGUUGGGUAGGGGAGCGUUCUGUAAGCCUGUGAAGGUGUGUCGUGAGGCAUGCUGGAGGUAUCAGAAGUGCGAAUGCUGACAUAAGUAACGAUAAAGCGGGUGAAAAGCCCGCUCGCCGGAAGACCAAGGGUUCCUGUCCAACGUUAAUCGGGGCAGGGUGAGUCGACCCCUAAGGCGAGGCCGAAAGGCGUAGUCGAUGGGAAACGGGUUAAUAUUCCCGUACUUGGUGUUACUGCGAAGGGGGGACGGAGAAGGCUAUGUUGGCCGGGCGACGGUUGUCCCGGUUUAAGCGUGUAGGUGUGUGUUCCAGGUAAAUCCGGUUCACUUUAACACUGAGGCGUGACGACGAGGCACUACGGUGCUGAAGCAACAAAUGCCCUGCUUCCAGGAAAA